UAUUACAGUCAAGUCUGUAGGGAGACAGAAAUAGAGAGAUCACUUGAAUACAAAGGUGUCUGGUUGGAGAUUUAAAAAAUAUAUCCUUCUAGUUCUUGUCAAUUGGUUGCAAUAUUGGAUCAUAAAAGUGAAUAUCUAGAUUUCUUAUAGAGAUACUAGCUACUACUAACUAUCCAGACACGACGUAGAAUGUUUCGUCUCCUAAACGGACACAACAGAAUGAAGCGACACAUGUUCCGGACAAUGGAAAUGGACACUACCGAAACCCAUCCUUGUGGAGUGUUAUUUGAGAAUGAAGACCAUGUCCUACAAAACUUCAAACUUUAUCGAGAGUUCCGGUCUCUCAAACACCUGUAUAGAAGAAAAUCUGUUUGGAGAGCUCCCUGACCUGGGAACUACUGCACAGGCUGUAGAAAUAACCUAAGACCAGUUUUCUCAACCUCCGACAUGAUGAAGAGACUUUAGAAGAAGAAAAAAAAAAUUAAAUCAUGAUUUAUUUAAGCAAA